rnacentral:rRNA from 1 species
CCUACGGGAGGCAGCAGUGGGGAAUAUUGGACAAUGGGCGAAAGCCUGAUCCAGCAAUGCCGCGUGAGUGAUGAAGGCCUUAGGGUUGUAAAGCUCUUUUACCAGGGAUGAUAAUGACAGUACCUGGAGAAUAAGCUCCGGCUAACUCCGUGCCAGCAGCCGCGGUAAUACGGAGGGAGCUAGCGUUGUUCGGAAUUACUGGGCGUAAAGAGUACGUAGGCGGUUAUUCAAGUCAGAGGUGAAAGCCCGGGGCUCAACCCCGGAACUGCCUUUGAAACUAGAUAGCUAGAGUCUUGGAGAGGUUAGUGGAAUUCCGAGUGUAGAGGUGGAAUUCGUAGAUAUUCGGAAGAACACCAGUGGCGAAGGCGACUAACUGGACAAGUACUGACGCUGAGGUACGAAAGCGUGGGGAGCAAACAGGAUUAGAUACCCUGGUAGUCCACGCCGUAAACGAUGAUAACUAGUUGUUCGGCACGUUGGUGCCUGAGUGACGCGAGCUACGACAUUAAGUUAUCCGUCCGUCGGGUAGGUACGGUCGCGAGAAGUUAAAACGUUAAAAGUAAAGUUAGUACGGACGUGUAAGACGUGUUCGAACGGACGACGACGAGGGAGGAGG